UAAUUUUUGUAUUUUUUUAGUGAAGACAGAGUUUUGCCAUGUUGGCCAGGCUGGUCUUGAACUCUUGACCUCAGGUGAUCUGCCUGCCUUGGCCUCCCAAAGUGCUGGAAUUACAGGCAUAAGUCUAUGCACCUGGCGUCUGGGGUCCCUUUUAUAAGAGCAUUAAUGCCAUGAGGACAGAGCCCUCACGAACUCAUCAUCUCCCAAAGGCCCCACCUUCUAACACUGUCACACGAAGGAUCCAGUUUCAAUGUAUGAAUUGUAUAGAAAACAUUCAGACCACAGUCAUAAGAAUUUCAAGAUGAGAUCCAGGGUGGGCCCUAAAUUCAGCGACUGCUGUCCUUACAGGGGAAAGGAAAGGGCGACGUGAGACACAGGGGAGAAGACUGUCUGAGGAAGGCAGGCAGAGCCGCAGAGAUUUAGAGUUAUGCAACCCCAGCCAAGAAACACCACAAGCCACCAAAAAUUAGAAGAGUCACCACUCUUCUGGAUUUCCUGCUACAACAACAGAAUACCACAGACGCGGUAAUUUACAAUGAAAAGAAGUUUACUUGGCUCACUCAUCUGGAGGCUUCCAUCACAUCCAAGACCAAGGGGCACAUCUGGGUUCAAAGAAGAAAAUUCGCCACAAGCACAGAAUUCUUUCAAGUCCCAGUUUUUAAAUUCAUGUGCAC
rnacentral:lncRNA from 1 species